rnacentral:rRNA from 1 species
UUGGGUUAGUCCGCAACGAGCGCAACCCUUGUCCUGUGUUGCUAACCGAAAGGUGCACUCUCAGGAGACCGCCAGCGAUAAGCUGGAGGAAGGUGGGGAUGACGUCAAGUCAUCAUGGCCUUUAUGUCCAGGGCUACACACGUGCUACAAUGGGCGGUACAGACCGCUGCAAACCCGCGAGGGGGAGCAAAUCGGAAAAAACCGUCCUCAGUUCGGAUUGCAGGCUGCAACUCGCCUGCAUGAAGCUGGAAUCGCUAGUAAUGGCGUAUCAGAACGACGCCGUGAAUACGUUCCCGGGCCUUGUACACACCGCCCGUCACAUCACGAAAGUGGGUUGUACUAGAAGUCUGCGGGCCAACCCGAAAGGGAGGCAGCGGCCCAAGGUAUGACUCAUGAUUGGGGUGAAGUCGUAACAAGGUAACCA